AGUAAUGUAUGGGGAUCUGCCUGAUGGCGGGGGAUAACUACUGGAAACGGUAGCUAAUACCGCAUAAUGUCUGCGGACCAAAGCGGGGGACCUCCGGGCCUCGCGCCAUCAGAUGAACCCAUAUGGGAUUAGCUUGUAGGUAAGGUAACGGCUUACCUAGGCGACGAUCCCUAGCUGGUCUGAGAGGAUGAUCAGCCACACUGGGACUGAGACACGGCCCAG
rnacentral:rRNA from 1 species